GGAUCGAUGUUGACUCCCCUGUAGAAAUAUUCCUUGGAAUACCUCUACAAUAUGAGUUAAAACUCAUGACCGUCCUUGGCAAUGGUAGUGAGUUCC